AUAUCAAUAAGCGGAGGAAAAGAAACCAACAGGGAUUGCCUCAGUAACGGCGAGUGAAGCGGCAAAAGCUCAAAUUUGAAAUCUGGCUCUUUCAGGGUCCGAGUUGUAAUUUGUAGAAGAUGCUUCGGGUGUGGUCCCGGUCUAAGUUCCUUGGAACAGGACGUCAUAGAGGGUGAGAAUCCCGUAUGUGACUGGGUACCUACGCUCAUGUGAAGCUCUUUCGACGAGUCGAGUUGUUUGGGAAUGCAGCUCAAAAUGGGUGGUAAAUUUCAUCUAAAGCUAAAUAUUGGCCAGAGACCGAUAGCGCACAAGUAGAGUGAUCGAAAGAUGAAAAGCACUUUGGAAAGAGAGUUAAACAGUACGUGAAAUUGUUGAAAGGGAAGCGCUUGCAAUCAGACUUGCGCCUAGUUGAUCAUCCGGGCUUCUGCCCGGUGCACUCGAUUAGGCUCAGGCCAGCAUCGGUUUGGGUGGUUGGAUAAAGGCUUGGGGAACGUAGCCUCCUUCGGGGGGUGUUAUAGCCCCAGGUGCAAUGCAGCCCACCUGGACCGAGGACCGCGCUUCGGCUAGGAUGCUGGCGUAAUGGUUGUAAGCGG
rnacentral:rRNA from 1 species